rnacentral:rRNA from 1 species
ACGAACGCUGGCGGCAUGCCUAACACAUGCAAGUCGAACGAGACCUUCGGGUCUAGUGGCGCACGGGUGCGUAACGCGUGGGAAUCUGCCCUUCGGUUGGGAAUAACUGAGAGAAGUUUCAGCUAAUACCUUAUAAUGUCUUCGGACCAAAGAUUUAUCGCCGAGGGAUGAGCCCGCGUAGGAUUAGGUAGUUGGUGGGGUAAUGGCCUACCAAGCCGACGAUCCUUAGCUGGUCUGAGAGGAUGAUCAGCCACACUGGGACUGAGACACGGCCCAGACUCCUACGGGAGGCAGCAGUGGGGAAUAUUGGACAAUGGGCGAAAGCCUGAUCCAGCAAUGCCGCGUGAGUGAUGAAGGCCUUAGGGUUGUAAAGCUCUUUUACCCGGGAUGAUAAUGACAGUACCGGGAGAAUAAGCUCCGGCUAACUCCGUG